CAGGACUGAGUGGUUGAGGUGGCAGGACUGAGUGGUUGAGGUGGCAGGACUGAGUGGUUGGGUGGGAGGACUGAGUGGUUGAGGUGGCAGGACUGAGUGGUUGAGGUGGCAGGACUGAGUGGUUGAGGUGGCAGGACUGAGUGGUUGAGGUGUUAGGGUUAGGGUUAGGUGGCAGGACUGAGUGGUUGAGGUGUUAGGGUUAGG